rnacentral:rRNA from 1 species
UACGUAGGGUGCAAGCGUUUAAUCGGAAUUACUGGGCGUAAAGCGUGCGCAGGCGGUUAUGUAAGACAGUUGUGAAAUCCCCGGGCUCAACCUGGGAACUGCAUCUGUGACUGCAUAGCUAGAGUACGGUAGAGGGGGAUGGAAUUCCGCGUGUAGCAGUGAAAUGCGUAGAUAUGCGGAGGAACACCGAUGGCGAAGGCAAUCCCCUGGACCUGUACUGACGCUCAUGCACGAAAAGCGUGGGGAGCAAACAGGAUUAGA